rfam:Candidatus Wildermuthbacteria bacterium RIFCSPLOWO2_01_FTLL_48_16 rifcsplowo2_01_scaffold_2981, whole genome shotgun sequence.
GGCGGGGUGCGGGAGCGGUUUAUCCGGAUGGUCUUGAAAACCAUUAAGGAUGCAAGUCCUUCGUGAGUUCGAAUCUCACCCCCGCCG